rnacentral:rRNA from 1 species
ACGCGAAGAACCUUACCUGGACUCGAAAUGCCGUCGACCGUCUCAGAGAUGAGGCUUUCCCGCAAGGGACGGCGGUAUAGGUGCUGCAUGGCUGUCGUCAGCUCGUGUCGUGAGAUGUUGGGUUAAGUCCCGCAACGAGCGCAACCCUCACCCUUAGUUGCACGUCCGCAAGGAAUGCACCCUAAGGGAACUGCCUCGGAUAACGGGGAGGAAGGUGGGGAUGACGUCAAGUCCUCAUGGCCUUUAUGCCCAGGGCUACACACGUGCUACAAUGGCCGGUACAAAGCGUCGCGAACCCGCGAGGGGGAGCCAAUCGCCAAAAACCGGUCUCAGUUCGGAUUGCAGUCUGCAACUCGACUGCAUGAAGCUGGAAUCGCUAGUAAUCGCGUAUCAGAACGACGCGGUGAAUACGUUCCCGGGCCUUGUA